ensembl:lncRNA
GGGAAGUCUGGGCAUCCCUGCUUAGACUGCUGCCCCCGCGACCCGGCCCCGGAUAAGCGGUAGAAGAUGGAUGGAUGCACAAGUAUGCUGCUAGUCCAGUAGCUAGAGUGGCUAAUACCUUGACCAGAGCAUAACCGGUUAUCUUCACCCAAGAGACCUACUGUUGGUCAAUCGUUUUGGCUUUAAGGGUAAAUGCAUUGUUAGUCACGAUGUCUAGUUACUGGGCCAAAAGGAAAAUAAUAUUGAAAAGAGUUGAGAGGGACAAACAGGACAUUCACUUGAAUCACUACAUGCUACAGAAGUUGCAUCGAUUCCAGAAAACCAGGAAAAUGUUCAGCCAUCUGUAGACUUCAGAGCUGAACCCGGUUUCUCCCCAGUAAUCUAGACUCCACUUCACAGAGCCAAGAGUUUGAGUACAACUCGUCAAGUACUAAGCUUUACACCCCCAGCAGCAAAUUUACCCUGGCAGAAUGUAGGUGAAAACGCUGGAGUAUUGAAAAUAGUACAUUUCCAGAGACUCCAGAAUGAAAACCAAGCCCUGAGGGAGGAGAACCAAGCCCUGAGGGAAUGCAAUGCACAAGCAGCUUUGGAUGACAGCCGCUCACUUCAAGAGCAGGUGAAGCAAGUAGGGACAAUGUUGAAGACGUUUGCUCUAACUGGGCAAUCAGGUGCGUUACCUGAAAGGAGCAUCUGACCGUGAAGGCAGAAAAAGGCGCUGCACAGCUGAGAGGGACCCACAGCCGACCCCUUAAACCUAGGCUGACUACUGACACCCCAGCAUCACUGAACUGGAACACUUUCUUUAUACUGCAGUCAGUAACAUCAAUAAGCCAGAAGUGCCAGACUACAUUCACCAAAUCCACCCUGUUCACUGUGGAUUUUUUAUUUUUUUGUAUUUUAACUUUAGUAUUGGCAUAUUUCAUUCCGUCAGUGCUUAACAAUUCUAUUAUAGUUUGUAAAUCCUAUUUCAUACCUGUUACUUGAUAUUGCACAUUAACUAGUACCAAAAUUCUACUUUCAUUCCAUCAGUGUGCUUAACUGUUAUUCUAUUAAUAAUAGCUUGGAAAUACUAUUUCAUACCUCUGAUACUUGAUAUUGCACAUUACCUAAUAUACCAAAUAUUCUACUUACUCUGUUUUUAACAUGAGCAUUUUUCAUUCCGUCACAGUGCUUAACUGUUAUUCUAUUGUUAAAUAUAGUUUGUAAAUCCUUGUGCCACAGGUCAGCGUUGCAGUCAUAAUGGUCUGUUCUACAACUGUUUUUACCUCCGUAUUUUUAUAUAAAAAUAUAUUUCAAGUUUUGUUUAUCACAGAUACAAGAGACACAGAUCUUAUUGCAGCACGGUGUAAAUCUUGUGCUCCAGGUCAACAAUGCCAUUGUAAUGGUUUAGUCUACUCUAGAGCUUUACUCUAAAUUAUUACCACUUUUCCUAUUGUUAGAAAUGGCUUGAAAAUGUGAUGUUAUACCUUGAUUUAUUUGGUAUCCUGCACAUUCUUUGGUACCAAAUAUCCUCAUUACUUAUGUUUACUGGUAAUUAUUUUCAUCCCAUAGCUGACCUCUUUAUAUUAUUAACAAUUAUUGUGUUUGUGUUAUAAUUUGCUUGUAGGGCUG